UCCAGACUCCUACGGGAGGCAGCAGUGAGGAAUAUUGGUCAAUGGCCGAGAGGCUGAACCAGCCAAGUCGCGUGAGGGAAGACGGCCCUACGGGUUGUAAACCUCUUUUGUCGGGGAGCAAAGCGAACCACGUGUGGUUCAUUGAGAGUACCCGAAGAAAAAGCGUCGGCUAACUCCGUGCCAGCAGCCGCGGUAAUACGGAGGAUGCGAGCGUUAUCCGGAUUUAUUGGGUUUAAAGGGUGCGCAGGCGGAAUGUCAAGUCAGCGGUAAAAUUUCGGGGCUCAACCCCGUCGUGCCGUUGAAACUGGCGUUCUUGAGUGAGCGAGAAGUAUGCGGAAUGCGUGGUGUAGCGGUGAAAUGCUUAGAUAUUGCGCAGAACUCCGAUUGCGAAGGCAGCAUACCGGCGGCGAUCUGACGCUGAGGCACGAAAGCGUGGGUAUCGAACAGGAUUAGAUACCCGAGUA
rnacentral:rRNA from 1 species